GAUGAACGCUGGCGGCGUGCCUAAUACAUGCAAGUCGAGCGAACGGACGAGAAGCUUGCUUCUCUGAUGUUAGCGGCGGACGGGUGAGUAACACGUGGAUAACCUACCUAUAAGACUGGGAUAACUUCGGGAAACCGGAGCUAAUACCGGAUAAUAUUUUGAACCGCAUGGUUCAAAAGUGAAAGACGGUCUUGCUGUCACUUAUAGAUGGAUCCGCGCUGCAUUAGCUAGUUGGUAAGGUAACGGCUUACCAAGGCAACGAUGCAUAGCCGACCUGAGAGGGUGAUCGGCCACACUGGAACUGAGACACGGUCCAGACUCCUACGGGAGGCAGCAGUAGGGAAUCUUCCGCAAUGGGCGAAAGCCCGACGGAGCAACGCCGCGUGAGUGAUGAAGGUCUUCGGAUCGUAAAACUCUGUUAUUAGGGAAGAACAUAUGUGUAAGUAACUGUGCACAUCUUGACGGUACCUAAUCAGAAAGCCACGGCUAACUACGUG
rnacentral:rRNA from 1 species